rnacentral:rRNA from 1 species
UUCCGUAGGUGAACCUGCGGAAGGAUCAUUAUCGUUCCUUCACCCGCACACUGCGUACUUGACUGUUCUUACUGGAGGCGUCGCUCGCUGCGUCCUCGUGGCGUGCGGCGUGUUCCGCACCCUGCUCCGGCAGACCUUUGGAGCGACGCGCGAUCGCCUCGGCGCCGCGCUUCCUCCGCCCCUCGAGCCUUUGGCUCGACGUAUUACCAAAUACACAACUCUUGUCGAUGGAUAUCUUGGCAUGAGCAACGAUGAAGAACGCAGCGAAAUGCGAUACGUAGUGCGAAUUGCAGAAUUCAGUGAAUCAUCGAACCUUUGAACGCAAAUGGCGCUUUCAGCUUCUGGCUGGAAGCACACUUCCUCCAGUGGCGCCACCACACCCCUCGGGUGCGCUCCGCGCGCAUCCGGACCGUGGCCGCUCCCGUGUCUCGACUCGGGGCCGGCUGAAGAGAUGAGCGCCGCCCUCGGGCCGCGUGCGCGGCGUGCGAAGGCGCGCUGCGGCCGAUGUGCUAGUGGACUUUGUCCUGAGUCCGUCGGUGCAAGCGCGGUCUGACUUGGCGCGGUCGCGCAGCAGCUUUGCUGCGCGCCCACCCCUUCUUACCACAUCUCGCCAUGGAGUGACGUGAGGCUACCCGCUGAACUUAAGCAUAUCAAUA